UGUCCUACGGGGGGCAGCAGUGAGGAAUAUUGGUCAAUGGGCGAGAGCCUGAACCAGCCAAGUCGCGUGAAGGAUGACGGCCCUACGGGUUGUAAACUUCUUUUGUCAGGGAGCAAUUGGGUCCACGCGUGGGUUUAGCGAGAGUACCUGAAGAAAAAGCAUCGGCUAACUCCGUGCCAGCAGCCGCGGUAAUACGGAGGAUGCGAGCGUUAUCCGGAUUUAUUGGGUUUAAAGGGUGCGUAGGCGGACAGUCAAGUCAGCGGUACAAAUGCGGUGCUCAACGCCGUACAGCCGUUGAAACUGGC
rnacentral:rRNA from 1 species